GAUGAACGCUGGCGGCGUGCCUAAUACAUGCAAGUCGAGCGAACAGACGAUGAGCUUGCUCCUCUGACGUUAGCGGCGGACGGGUGAGUAACACGUGGAUAACCUACCUAUAAGACUGGGAUAACUUCGGGAAACCGGAGCUAAUACCGGAUAAUAUAUUUAACCGCAUGGUUCAAUAGUGAAAGACGGUUUUGCUGUCACUUAUAGAUGGAUCCGCGCCGCAUUAGCUAGUUGGUAAGGUAACGGCUUACCAAGGCAACGAUGCGUAGCCGACCUGAGAGGGUGAUCGGCCACACUGGAACUGAGACACGGUCCAGACUCCUACGGGAGGCAGCAGUAGGGAAUCUUGCGCAAUGGGCGAAAGCCUGACGGAGCAACGCCGCGUGAGUGAUGAAGGUCUUCGGAUCGUAAAACUCUGUUAUUAGGGAAGAACAAAUGUGUAAGUAACUAUGCACGUCUUGACGGUACCUAAUCAGAAAGCCACGGCUAACUACGUG
rnacentral:rRNA from 1 species